AACUUACGCCUUUUACUGGGCGAACAGCCCGCUGGCCAGCAUCCCUCUCCGCACGCACGCUCUGGGCCCGCCCCCUGCCACUUCAUUGGUCAACUCACCCGUCCAUCACGCACCCACCACUGAAACAAAGGCGCCAAAGAUUCCAAUCCCCUCGGUGCAAUCAGCGAAGGUUUCGAUUGCGUCCGGCUCCCCCAUUGGCCGGGCUUCUUCCCUUCAGACGAGCCUUUCCCCGGAGCCGCCACGGAAGAGACCCGUCGUCUCGGUGGCGGAGGCGCGGGGCAUCCUGGGAAUUGUAGUGCUCAGAGAGGCGGAAGAAGGAGCGGGAAACGCCUCACGAGCUGCCGAGUUAGGCCUGAGGUUUCGCGGGUGUCCGGCCACGGCCCCCCCAGCCCACAGCCGACUGCUGCAGGCCUGAGGAAUGCCACUCGGUGCCACAUUCGCACACAGGCCCCAAGAACCCCACUGGUCCUGAAUGGAGUUCCACCUUCUCUCCAGAAACUCCUUGGACCUUUUCGGGAGACAGACACCUCUUCACCUGUGAUAUCUUAGUUUGUCACCCCCUCCCCACAGAAGACCCAGGGCUGAGAAAAGUAGAGUUUCUAUGGAGUGGCACCUGACACCAGCUUCUCUGAGACUCCCUGGCGUGGACAUCCCUGAAGCCAAUUAUUUCUCUCUUUAGAGAAUAAUAUGUAAACUUCAACUAUCUGAUUUA